rnacentral:rRNA from 1 species
UACAGAGGGCGCGAGCGUUGUCCGGAAUCACUGGGCGUAAAGGGCGCGUAGGCGGCCUGAUAAGUAGGGGGGUGAAAUCCUGUGGCUUAACUGCAGGGGCUGCCUCCUAGACUGUUAGGCUCGAGCACGGUAGAGGCAGAUGGAAUUCCCGGUGUAGCGGUGGAAUGCGUAGAGAUCGGGGAAGAACAUCGGUGGCGAAGGGCGGUCUGCUGGGGCCGUUGCUGACGCUGAGGCGCGACACGGUGGGGGAGCAAACGGAUGAUGAACCCGA